AACGUAGGUUCCGAGCGUUAUCCGGAUUUACUGGGCGUAAAGCGUGUUCAGGCGGCUCAGCAAGUCGGGCAUGAAAUCUCUCGGCUCAACCGGGAGAGGCUGUCCGAUACUGCUGGGCUUGAGGGCAGUAGAGGGUGGUGGAAUUCCGGGUGUAGUGGUGAAAUGCGUAGAUAUCCGGAGGAACACCAGUGGCGAAAGCGGCCACCUGGACUGUACCUAACGCUGAGGAGCGAAAGCGUGGGGAGCGAACAGG
rnacentral:rRNA from 1 species